rnacentral:rRNA from 1 species
CGGUGUUUAACUGGCGUGAUGUGGGACGUCCUACCGGUGGGCUUAGCCUCGCGAGGGGCGGCCCAACUAAUAUCCCGUCGCGGUGCUCUUUACUGAGUGUCGAGUCGGGCCGGUACGUUUACUUUGAACAAAUUAGAGUGCUUAAAGCAGGCUAUCCUCGCCUGAAUACUGCGUGCAUGGAAUAAUGGAAUAGGACCUCGGUUCUAUUUUGUUGGUUUUCGGAACCCCGAGGUAAUGAUUAAUAGGGACAGAUGGGGGCAUUCGUAUUGCGACGUUAGAGGUGAAAUUCUUGGAUCGUCGCAAGACGGACAGAAGCGAAAGCAUUUGCCAAAAAUGUUUUCAUUAAUCAAGAACGAAAGUUAGAGGUUCGAAGGCGAUCAGAUACCGCCCUAGUUCUAACCAUAAACGAUGCCAGCUAGCGAUCCGCCGAAGUUCCUCCGAUGACUCGGCGGGCAGCUUCCGGGAAACCAAAGCUUUUGGGUUCCGGGGGAAGUAUGGUUGCAAAGCUGAAACUUAAAGGAAUUGACGGAAGGGCACCACCAGGAGUGGAGCCUGCGGCUUAAUUUGACUCAACACGGGAAACCUCACCAGGCCCAGACACCGGGAAGGAUUGACAGAUUGAUAGCUCUUUCUUGAUUCGGUGGGUGGUGGUGCAUGGGCCGUUCUUAGUUGGUGGAGCGAUUUGUCUGGUUAAUUCCGAUAACGAACGAGACUCUAGCCUGCUAAAUAGGCGUACCUUAUGGUAUCGCGAAGGCCCCCGGCUUCGGCCGGUGGGUUUUUACUACCAACGUACAAACAAAUCUUCUUAGAGGGACAGGCGG